AUUGAACGCUGGCGGCAUGCCUUACACAUGCAAGUCGAACGGUAACAGGUCUUCGGAUGCUGACGAGUGGCGAACGGGUGAGUAAUACAUCGGAACGUGCCUAGUAGUGGGGGAUAACUACUCGAAAGAGUGGCUAAUACCGCAUGAGAUCUACGGAUGAAAGCAGGGGAUCGCAAGACCUUGUGCUACUAGAGCGGCCGAUGGCAGAUUAGGUAGUUGGUGGGAUAAAAGCUUACCAAGCCGACGAUCUGUAGCUGGUCUGAGAGGACGAUCAGCCACACUGGGACUGAGACACGGCCCAGUCUCCUACGGGAGGCAGCAGUGGGGAAUUUUGGACAAUGGGCGCAAGCCUGAUCCAGCAAUGCCGCGUGCAGGAUGAAGGCCUUCGGGUUGUAAACUGCCUUUGUACGGAACGAAAAGCCCCGGGUUAAUACCCUGGGGUCAUGACGGUACCGUAAGAAUAAGCACCGGCAAACUAUGUGCCAGCCGCCGCCGUAA
rnacentral:rRNA from 1 species